rnacentral:rRNA from 1 species
AGUGAACGCUGGCGGUAGGCCUAGCACAUGCAAGUCGAACGGCAGCACAGUAAGAGCUUGCUCUUACGGGUGGCGAGUGGCGGACGGGUGAGGAAUACAUCGGCAUCUACUUUUUCGUGGGGGAUAACGUAGGGAAACUUACGCUAAUACCGCAUACGACCUACGGGUGAAAUCAGGGGAUCUUCGGACCUUGCGCGAUUGAAUGAGCCGAUGUCGGAUUAGCUAGUUGGCGGGGUAAAGGCCCACCAAGGCGACGAUCCGUAGCUGGUCUGAGAGGAUGAUCAGCCACACUGGAACUGAGACACGGUCCAGACUCCUACGGGAGGCAGCAGUGGGGAAUAUUGGACAAUGGGCGCAAGCCUGAUCCAGCCAUACCGCGUGGGUGAAGAAGGCCUUCGGGUUGUAAAGCCCUUUUGUUGGGAAAGAAAAGCAGCAGGUUAAUACCCCGCUGUUCUGACGGUACCCAAAGAAUAAGCACCGGCUAACUUCGUG